AAGUACUAAUCAUAUAAUGUGUAUAGUUUCGGCCUAUAUCAAGUCUAACAAGACAGUACUU
rnacentral:tRNA from 1 species